UCUUCCGUAGUCUAGUGGUUAUGAGUACGUACCUGUUUCACUCAUUAUCCAUAGUCAAUUCUCACAUCUCUUCAGUUUCCGCUUGUCAUUAUACAAGCUCGCGGACGGCCCGGGUUCGAUUCCCGGCGGGAGAG